CACUAGAUGGCUGAAAGCAAGUACUGG
rnacentral:tRNA from 1 species